GACGUAGGGCGCGAGCGUUGUCCGGAUUUAUUGGGCGUAAAGAGCUCGUAGGCGGCUUGUUGCGUCGGCUGUGAAAACCCAUGGCUCAACCGUGGGCUUGCAGCCGAUACGGGCAGGCUAGAGUUCGGUAGGGGAGACUGGAAUUCCUGGUGUAGCGGUGAAAUGCGCAGAUAUCAGGAGGAACACCGGUGGCGAAGGCGGGUCUCUGGGCUGAUACUGACGCUGAGGAGCGAAAGCGUGGGGAGCGAACAGG
rnacentral:rRNA from 1 species